rnacentral:misc_RNA from 1 species
AAGUCGAAAAUAUAGAAUAAAAAUUUUUCGUUUGAGGCUUUGUUUUCGAGAAAAUCGACUUUGAAUUUCCGUUGCGAGCAAUUGAAAGAAAAGAUUAUUGUAGCCUUUCAUACUUUAAAACAAUCAAAUACGUUAGAAAGUGUUCAUAGAAAUUUAAUUAGAAGAGCAGAAGUAUGUGUUCGGCAGAAUGGGCAACAUUUUCAGCAAUUUUUGUAAUAAUAAACUUUAUGAUUACUUCAUAUUAUUUCAUUAUGUAUUCCUAAUUUUCCGUUACGGCAAAAACAAACAAACUGCGAUAAUAUCCAUCGAGACAACGAUCUACAGUGAGAUCCGUUACAACGAGACGCGAUAAAGUGCACGCGUACCGAGCGAAAAUUCAAAGUCGAUUUUCUCGAAAACAAAGCCUCAAAGGAAAAAUUUUUAUUCUAUAUUUUCGACUUCUUUUUUCGCGUAGAAUCACCCCCUUUCCGCUUGUACCACCAGUUACCAACAAAACAAGAAAAAUCUAUUCUUCAUACUUUAACCUUUUAAAGAUGGAUCGCCUGCAGCCUGUCGUCAACUUAAUCCUAUGUUAUAUAACAUUUCGUCGCACCUGCCCUCUGCUGUUCGAGAUCGGAAUUACCGAUGUAGAAGCUUUGGAAAUUAUUUUUAAAAUCUUACUAAGCAAACGGAACAAGAGAAAUAAGAACGUAUUUGGUAGAAAAGAAGGAGAUGAAAUAAGAAGAAAAAUGAAAGUUGGUACGAACCGAUAGUUGAACGGGCCUGCGAGUGAACG